rnacentral:rRNA from 1 species
AUUGAACGCUGGCGGAAUGCUUUACACAUGCAAGUCGAGCGGCAGCGCGGCCUUCGGGCUGGCGGCGAGCGGCGAACGGGUGAGUAAUGCAUCGGAACAUGCCCAGUCGCGGGGGAUAACACUUCGAAAGAAGUGCUAAUACCGCAUACGUCCUGAGGGGGAAAGCGGGGGAUCGCAAGACCUCGCGCGAUUGGAGUGGCCGAUGUCAGAUUAGCUAGUUGGUGGGGUAAAGGCCUACCAAGGCGACGAUCUGUAGCUGGUCUGAGAGGAUGAUCAGCCACACUGGGACUGAGACACGGCCCAGACUCCUACGGGAGGCAGCAGUGGGGAAUUUUGGACAAUGGGGGCAACCCUGAUCCAGCCAUUCCGCGUGAGUGAAGAAGGCCUUCGGGUUGUAAAGCUCUUUCGGCAGGAACGAAACGGUGGGCUCUAACAUAGUCCGCUAAUGACGGUACCUGAAGAAGAAGCACCGGCUAACUACGUG